GAAAGAGGUGAACCUGCGGAAGGAUCAUUAUUGUAUAACCGAGGUGCGAGGGCUGUCGCUGACCCGAAAGGUCGUGCACGCCCGAGUGCCCUCACGCACAUCCAUCUCACCCCUAUGUGCACCACCGCGUGGGUCCCCCUUUGGCUUGUUCGGAGGGGGGCUUACGUUUUCACACAAACUUUGUAUGCAGUGUAGAAUGUAUUUUUUGUUUUUGCGAUCACGCAAUCAAUACAACUUUCAACAACGGAUCUCUUGGUUCUCACAUCGAUGAAGAACGCAGC
rnacentral:misc_RNA from 1 species